AACGAACGCUGGCGGCAUGCCUAACACAUGCAAGUCGAACGAGACCUUCGGGUCUAGUGGCGCACGGGUGCGUAACGCGUGGGAACCUGCCCUUAGGUUCGGAAUAACUCCCCGAAAGGGGUGCUAAUACCGGAUAAUGUCUUCGGACCAAAGAUUUAUCGCCUUUGGAUGGGCCCGCGUUGGAUUAGCUAGUUGGUAGGGUAAAAGCCUACCAAGGCGACGAUCCAUAGCUGGUCUGAGAGGAUGAUCAGCCACACUGGGACUGAGACACGGCCCAGACUCCUACGGGAGGCAGCAGUGGGGAAAAUUGGACAAUGGGCGAAAGCCUGAUCCAGCAAGGCCGCGUGAGUGAUGAAGGCCUUAGGGUUGUAAAGCUCUUUUACCCGGGAUGAUAAUGACAGUACCGGGAGAAUAAGCUCCGGCUAACUCCGU
rnacentral:rRNA from 1 species